rnacentral:snRNA from 1 species
UUGCAUGCAUGCACGCAUACUAAAAUUGGAAUGAUUCAGAGAAGAUUAUCAAGGCCCUGUGCAACAAUGACACACAAAUUCAUGAAGCGUUACAUAUUUUU